rnacentral:misc_RNA from 1 species
AAGCUUCGAGGAGGAAAACGUAAUUAUGUCUUGUGAAUCCGCGCUAAAACGAAUAUGGGGGGGGGGGAGAGACGCCAUGGCGUUGUUUACAUCCCGGGGCCCAGUAGCAGGUCCCAGCCUCUUCCUUCUCGGGUGAUUUCUAGAGUAAAUAAUUGAGAGAAGACUACAAGUGUGUCCCAUCCCUGAAUUGGGAGUUCCCUGCUUUGUGCUUUAAGUCAGGCCAACAGGUUGAGACUCAAGCUGUUUUGGUCACAAGUCAGGACUUGAGGAUGUUGACCAGAGUCCGCUAAUAUCCUUCAAUAUUUAGUGUUACAGACACCUGCUCCAAGUGAUACGCCAUGACAGAAGUGUUCCGGUUCGGCCUCGUGCCCAUCGCUUGUCGUGCCCGGAAUGAGGACCGCAGCCAAGUGGCAUUGAGUCUCAACAACAAUGAAGUGAAUAUAUAUGGCAGAGCUGCAUCAGAGUGGAAGCUUCAGGAAACACUCCAGGGUCAUGAUCUGCGUGUCACAGGCAUUGACUGGGCUCCCAGCACCAAUCGCAUUGUUACAUGUGGAGCACUUCGAGGAGGAAAACGUAAUUUUGUCUUGUGAAUCCGCGCUAGAACGAAUAUACAUCCCAGCCGGGGGGGGAGAGACGCCAUGGCAUUGUUUACAUCCCGGGGCCCAGUAGCAGGUCCCAGCCUCUUCCUUCUCGGGUGAUUUCUAGAGUAAAUAAUUGAGAGAAGACUACAAGUGUGUCCCAUCCCUGAAUUGGAAGUUCCCUGCUUUGUGCUUUGUUACA